GGUCCGUUCGUCUAGGGGUUAGGACUUCAGGAUUUCGUCCUGAUAACAGGGGUUCGAUUCCCUUACGGACUA
rnacentral:tRNA from 1 species